rnacentral:rRNA from 1 species
GGUAACUUGGUCUUAUAAUCAUUAUAAAUGGAUCAAUGAAUCAUACAUCAAUGUAAAAUUUUAAGAAGAGUUUGUUUUAUCUUCCCGUCACCCCAACGAAAUACUUUUACAAUUAAAUCAAACCUCAUCUAAAAAGAUUAAAGUUUCCUAGUAUUAAGCUCUAUAGGGUCUUCUCGUCCUCCAAUUUCAUUUUAGCCUUUUAACUAAAAAGUUAAAUUUUAAUUUAAUCUUAAUGAGACAGUUAACACCUCGUCCAACCAUUCAUGCCAGCCUUUAAUUAGAAGACUAAUGAUUAUGCUACCUUUGCACGGUCAAAAUACCGCGGCCCUUUAAUUUUUCAGUGGGCAGGCUAGACCUUCUAUUUAUUACACAAAAGGCG